rnacentral:rRNA from 1 species
CCUACGGGUGGCAGCAGUGAGGAAUAUUGGUCAAUGGGCGCGAGCCUGAACCAGCCAAGUCGCGUGAGGGAAGACGGUCCUAUGGAUUGUAAACCUCUUUUGUCGGGGAGCAAAAGACGCCACGCGUGGCGUUCCGCGAGUACCCGAAGAAAAAGCAUCGGCUAACUCCGUGCCAGCAGCCGCGGUAAUACGGAGGAUGCGAGCGUUAUCCGGAUUUAUUGGGUUUAAAGGGAGCGUAGAUGGGUUGUUAAGUCAGUUGUGAAAGUUUGCGGCUCAACCGUAAAAUUGCAAUUGAUACUGGCAGCCUUGAGUACAGUUGAGGUAGGCGGAAUUCGUGGUGUAGCGGUGAAAUGCUUAGAUAUCACGAAGAACUCCGAUUGCGAAGGCAGCUUACUAAACUGCCACUGACAUUGAUGCUCGAAAGUGUGGGUAUCAAACAGGAUUAGAUACCCUGGUAGUC